AUGGUUGUUAUUCUCCACCUACUACAGUACAUUAUCAUGGUUGUUACUCUCCACCAACUACAGUACAUUAUCAUGGUUGUUAUUCUCCACCUGCUACAGUACAUUAUCAUGGUUGUUAUUCUCCACCUGCUACAGUACUUUAUCAUGGUUGUUAUUCUCCACCAACUACAGUACAUUAUCAUGGUUGUUAUUCGAGAACCUAUUACAGUGCAUUAUCAUGGUUGUUAUUCUCCACGUACUACAGUACAUUAUCAUGGUUGUUACUCUCCUCCAACUACAGAACAUUAUGAUGGUUGUUAUACUACACCUGCUACAGUACAUUAUCAUGGUUGUUACUCUCCACCAACUACAGUACAUUAUCAUGGUUGUUAUUCUCCACCUACUACAGUACAUUAUCAUGGUUGUUACUCUCCACCAACUAGCGUACAUUAUUAUGGUUGUUAUUCUCCACCUACUACAGUACAUUAUCAACAGGUUAAAAGUGGUCACUCAGGGCUCCAAGUAGUUUACUUCACCAGACCCUACUACUACAGCUCACCCUCUGGCCUGGGGUCUGGAGCCUGGGUUAUGGAGCCUGGUGUCUGGAGCCUGGGUUAUGGAGUCUGGGGUCUGGAGCCUGGGUUAUGGAGCCUGGUGUCUGGAGCCUGGUGUCUGGAGCCUGGGUUAUGGAGCCUGGUGUCUGGAGUCUGGGGUCUGGAGCCUGGGUUAUGGAGCCUGGUGUCUGGAGCCUGGGUUAUGGAGCCUGGUGUCUGGAGCCUGGGUUAUGGAGCCUGGUGUCUGGAGUCUGGGGUCUGGAGCCUGAUGCCUGGGGUCUGGAGCCUGGAGACUGUGGCCCAUCCCCUUUCUGCUGACAAUGGCUCUCCCCCAGAAAAUAAAGUGAUGGCAGACAGAGGGAGAGGCGUUCAUCGGCUCUGGCGUGGUAACUAUUCCAGACAGAUAACAAUCCCAGCUUUCUCCUGCUCAUUUCCACUGGAUAACGCUCCACAAAUAGACCUGUCAGGCUGCCUUCUCCUUAAAGGGACCAGGAGGUUGGGAUUAAGAGGUUCUUUUUUAGAAUUUCCAAUUCAAUGA
rnacentral:lncRNA from 8 species